GUGUCCACUUCGACAGCACAUAUACUAAAAUUGAAAUGACAGAGAAGAUUAGCAUGGCCCCUGCAAAAGGAUGACACGCAAGUUCAUGAAGGGUUCCAUAUUUUU